rnacentral:rRNA from 1 species
GAUGAACGCUGGCGGCGUGCCUAAUACAUGCAAGUCGAGCGAACAGACGAGGAGCUUGCUCCUCUGACGUUAGCGGCGGACGGGUGAGUAACACGUGGAUAACCUACCUAUAAGACUGGGAUAACUUCGGGAAACCGGAGCUAAUACCGGAUAACAUGUUGAACCGCAUGGUUCAACAGUGAAAGACGGUCUUGCUGUCACUUAUAGAGGGAUCCGCGCCGCAUUAGCUAGUUGGUAAGGUAACGGCUUACCAAGGCAACGAUGCGUAGCCGACCUGAGAGGGUGAUCGGCCACACUGGAACUGUGACACGGUCCAGACUCCUACGGGAGGCAGCAGUAGGGAAUCUUCCGCAAUGGGCGAAAGCCUGACGGAGCAACGCCGCGUGAGUGAAGAAGGUCUUCGGAUCGUAAAACUCUGUUAUUAGGGAAGAACAAAUGUGUAAGUAACUAUGCACGUCUUGACGGUACCUAAUCAGAAAGCCACGGCUAACUACGUG